CAGCCGCCGCGGUAAUACCGGCGGCCCGAGUGGCGGCCACUAUUAUUGGGCUUAAAGCGUCCGUAGCCGGGUUGGUUAGUCUCCCGGGAAAUCUGGCCGCUUAACGGUCAGAAUUCCGGGAGAUACUGCCAGCCUAGGGACCGGGAGAGGCCGAGGGUAUUCCCGGAGUAGGGGUGAAAUCCUAUAAUCCCAGGGGGACCGCCAGUGGCGAAGGCGCCCCGCUGGAACGGGUCCGACGGUGAGGGACGAAGGCCAGGGGAGCAAACCGGAUUAGAUACCCGGGUAGUCCUGGCUGUAAAGGAUGCGGGCUAGGUGUCGGGUGAGCUGCGGGCUCGCCCGGUGCCGGAGGGAAGCCGUUAAGACCGCCGCCUGGGGAGUACGGCCGCAAGGCUGAAACUUAAAGGAAUUGGCGGG
rnacentral:rRNA from 1 species